rnacentral:rRNA from 1 species
UACGUAGGUGGCAAGCGUUGUCCGGAAUUAUUGGGCGUAAAGCGCGCGCAGGCGGCCUCUUAAGUCUGAUGUGAAAGCCCCCGGCUCAACCGGGGAGGGCCAUUGGAAACUGGGAGGCUUGAGUAUAGGAGAGAAGAGUGGAAUUCCACGUGUAGCGGUGAAAUGCGUAGAGAUGUGGAGGAACGCCAGUGGCGAAGGCGACUCUUUGGCCUAUGAACUGACGCUGAGGCGCGAAAGCGUGGGGAGCAAACAGG